rnacentral:rRNA from 1 species
CACUCCUACGGGAGGCAGCAGUGGGGAAUUUUGGACAAUGGGCGAAAGCCUGAUCCAGCAAUGCCGCGUGAGUGAAGAAGGCCUUCGGGUUGUAAAGCUCUUUUGUCAGGGAAGAAACGGUGAGAGCUAAUAUCUCUUGCUAAUGACGGUACCUGAAGAAUAAGCACCGGCUAACUACGUGCCAGCAGCCGCGGUAAUACGUAGGGUGCAAGCGUUAAUCGGAAUUACUGGGCGUAAAGCGUGCGCAGGCGGUUUUGUAAGUCUGAUGUGAAAUCCCCGGGCUCAACCUGGGAAUUGCAUUGGAGACUGCAAGGCUAGAAUCUGGCAGAGGGGGGUAGAAUUCCACGUGUAGCAGUGAAAUGCGUAGAUAUGUGGAGGAACACCGAUGGCGAAGGCAGCCCCCUGGGUCAAGAUUGACGCUCAUGCACGAAAGCGUGGGGAGCAAACAGGAUUAGAAACCCUUGUAGUCCCAUGA